rnacentral:lncRNA from 10 species
CCCACUGGUGGCUACCAAGGCCCGUCAAUAGAUCUUGUGUCCACCGAGCCCUGGUGUCAAGGUUGGAGGGUCCUGGGUCCUCCAUGACCCUGGGGGGUUGCUGGUCCCCCAUCUUGGUUCUUGAGUCUCAUCCUUUCAAGAUGACCUUGAGAGCUUUAAGCUCAUCCUGGUUGAGGGGGUUCAAGUUAAAACCCUUCAGCUCCGGUUUGCCUAGGAGAGAAGAUGAUCCAUCAGCACGUCGGGCCUCCUGCUGGCUCUGGAGCCAGGCCCAGGAAAGGGGCUGACGCUGCACUAAUGCUGCCAAACUCAGCCUGGAGGUCUGGCAGGGAUGGGCCUCCAAUUCUGCAAUGCACCAGAUGAGGCAUCACCACUGCUCCUGUGUCACCAAGAGCCUGCAAACGCGUAACUCUGCUGCCCAAAGAACCUCAGGUUUUUCCAAGACCUGUGACCAAUCUAGAGUGCUUGCAUUUAUCAAGAAUUUCAGCUCUGACCUCACUCACUCACUGAAGCCUUCUGAGUUUCCUCAGUCAGAGCUAUCUGAUCCCCAUGCCAUGCCCCGAUGUAUAACGUGAGAUCACCCCAAGCGGUUCCUGGGACCUGGAAAAGAAACUAUGACAGGACUAGGACUGUAGAAGUCCCCCUGUCCAUUCUGUCCCUGGGCAGCUACAACCAACCACUGUGCACACCUCCAGGGCCACUCACAGGCUGCCCCGGACACUGCCCAUCUCUGAGGGUCGGACUUCCCAUCCCUGCCCUUCAAAGUCCAUGCUGAUGAUUCCCUCCCCUUCUUAUCUCCAGUCCCUGCUAAGCCAAUACCUUGGGCCUCAAAAAGGCGGUUGACCUUCACUUUAAGUUGCUUCCGCAGUUUUUCUAUUUCUUUAUCCAGAUGAUCUUGAUCUGAAAAAAUGAGGGGGGCAAGCAGAGGAUAAGAUUGUACCAGACAGACUUGAUCCCAGUAGUGGAGAGGCCAGCCUCUCCCCAGCAAGGGCGUGUAGCUUUCAGGAAGGAAAAGGGGACAUCAGAGGCCAACUGAGGAAGGAUUAAAGUCUAGAAGGGACAUGACCUGCUCAGGACCACUCAGAGAGCCCAGGACACAGCAGUCCCAACUCCCAUUACACUGGCCUUUUCUGCAUUAUGCAAAGUACCUUGGGGUGGUCAGUGGAUGGAGAAGGCAACAUCAGGACUUUAGGCUGCCCUCCCACAAUGAAAUUAUGGAAAAUUCAAAUGCACAAACAAAAUAAGCAUCUCUAGAUUCAGCCCACCCUAGAUGGCUGGAAAAUGGAUGCCUAAGAAAUUUUACAAACCCAAGUCCAUCAAGGUGAGGGGGUUUUAGAAAAACAUGAUUGUGUAAACAUGUGACGUAAACAAUCAACACGCAAGCAAUGCUCAAGCUUAACUUAAUUAGCCACUGUGAACAGAAAAGGGUCUUCUAGUGUCAUGGACUGCCCCUGAGAAGAGUUGGUGUGAUGACAGAGGUGGCUAUCAAAGCUUGAUUGACCAAUUGACUGAAGUCACCCAGCCAAUUCCACCUGCUCAUGAGUGACAUUCUGGCUAGCCUGUCUUCCCCACAGACUCACUCUUUCAGAUGGGGGAGAAACCCUGAAUGGCCAAGCCUUACAGCCUGGUUCUAUUUCUCAUUGUGAAUGAGUAACCCCAAUGUCCAUGAGCUUGUUUAGCCUAUGUUGAUCCCCAAGAAAUCUGAUAAUGUCUCAGAACCCCUCUAGGUACAGUGACAAGACGACAUUUGGGGGCCAAAAGGGCCAACAAGAUCCUGAACCCAGGCAAGGGACCCUCUGAAAGCUUAGCCUCCAGCCCACCACCAAGUGCAGUUUAAUUUUAUAACCAUAAUAUUAGUGUAUUUUUUCAACACAACAGCUGGAAACUUCUCCAGGCUGGAUAUAGCUUCCUGUUAGUAGUUUUAUGUCACUGGCCAGGAGCAGUGGCUCACGCCUGUAAUCCCAGCACUUUGGUGGGAGGCCAAGGUGGGUGGAUCACCUGAGGUCACUUAGACCAGCCUGGCCAACAUAGCAAAACCCUGUCUUUACUAAAAAAACACAAAAAUUAGCCACGCAUGAUGGCAUGCACCUAUAAUUCCAGCUAAUCAGGAGGCUGAGGCAGGAGAAUUGCUUGAACCUGGGAGGCAAAGGUUGCAGUGAGCCGAGAUAGCACCAUUGCACUCCAGCCUGGGUGACAGAGCAAGACUCUGUCUCAAGGAAAAAAAAAAAAGUUUUAUUUCAUGAGGUAUGAAGACAUCCUGUCUUCAGGGACUGAGGCAACCUUGCUUGUCCUUUUGGCCAUUUUCAAGGUUAUGGAAGAAAAAGUAUGUGUAGCCUGUUCUUUUUCUAGCCAAUAAUCCAUUUGCAGCCUGACUUGCUUUAAGAUGCUUUUCCAAAGAGCUUCCAGAUUAUGGUUGUGGAAACUGAGUACACUGAGUGCCUAGGCUAUGGCAGACCCUAGAGGUUUAAUCUCCCCAAACCUCCAUUUUCAACCCAGUCUCUAUUGCAGGGCAUGUAAAAAAGAAAAGCUCACUCUCCCAGGCUCUCUUGCAGCUAUGGGUGACCAUGUGACUUAGUUCUGGCCAAUGAGAUGUUGGCAGGAAGUCCCUGAGGAGAUGGCCUUACUUCCAAAAUAGAAGGCAAAGCUCUAUGUGGCGAAAGCCUUCUGUCUUUCCUCCAGCCUGGCAUGAGGACAUGAGGCCUGCAACGAUGAAACAACAACCAGGAGAAUAUGCUAAGGUGCCACUGCUGGGCAUCUAUGCCAGGACUGGAGUACACACCUCUGGACAAUUUCUUAUGCAAGAGUAAAAGAAGCAUAUUUCCUUAAGCCUCAAUUUGUUGGGUUUUGUUAUCUGCAGCCCAACUGAUUCCUCACUAAUAAGAAAGCACUAUGCUAGGCACACAUAUUGUUUUACCUCAACUGCACAGCUAUGCUACACAGAUGCAUCCCCCUCUUAGAGAUGAGGAAAUAACCCACAGUGGCAGAGGUGGAAUUAAAACCCACAGCAGUCUGAACCCUGUGACAGAACUGCCUCUCCUUACGCUGCCUGAAGCCUGACUCCCUGUUCUGGGUUAAGACCAAAGCUGGUGGGAGAGGCAGCACACCCCUGACCCAUCCCCAGGAGGCCUUACCUUUUUCAAUCAUUUCCUUUGUCUCAGGGUGAGGCAUCUUGAUAAACAUGUUCCCGAAGCAAACCAUCACAUCUUCUGAAAGAGCAAAUAGUAAUUCCUUCAACAAUUUUUUUUUGAGUACCUAUUAUCUGCCAGGCAUUGUUUUAGAUACAGACAACAGAGCAGAACAAGAAAAAGUUCCUGCCCUCUUGGAGCUUAUGUUACAGUGGAGGAGAGAGAAUAAAGAUAUGAUUUGUCAGACCUUAAGAGUUGUAGAGAAAAAUAAAGCAGGCUAAGAUGGCUAGGGAAUGCCAGAGGAGGACCUUGUUAAUCAUAGCAGGUAGUCUGAGAAGGCCUUACUGAUUAUAUGCUAUCUACACAGAGACCUAAGGAAAGUGAGAGUGUGAGCCCUGCAGACAUCUGGGGAAAGAGUGAGCCAAACAGAGGAAACAACAGGAACAGCAAAGAUCAGUAGUGUGCUUGGGGUGUUCAGAACAGCAAGGGGCCGGGCGCAGUGGCUCACGCCUGUAAUCCCAGCACUUUGGGAGGCCGAGGCAGGUGGAUCACUUGAGGCCAGGACCUCGAGACCGGCCUGGCCAACAUGGCGAAACGCUGUAUCUAUUAAAAAUACAAAAAUUAGCUGGGUGUGGUGGCACACGCCUGUAAUCUCAGCUACUCAGGAGGCUGAGGCACAAGAAUCACUUGAACCUGGGAGACAGAGGUUGCAGUGAGCCAAGAUCAUGCCACUGCACUCCAGUCUGGGUGACAGAGCAAGGCUCUGUCUCCAAAUAAAUAAAUAAAUGAAUAAAUAAAAGAACAGCAAGGAGACCAGUGUAGGUGGAGUCAUGUUGGGGGUGGGGGGAGUAGAGAUGAUAUUGGCACACUCAUGGAUUCAUGGGGGCUGGAUUACUCGGUCUUGUAGGACCUCUGGAUUUUACUCAGGUGAGAUGAGAAGCAACUGGAAGAUUCUGCACAUUCUAGUGUACUUUCAACAAAAUGUAAACUUCCUCCCUUAGCCCCCAAGACCUUUCAUUAUGGCCUGGUCUCUGUCCCUCUCUCCAGCCAUACUUACUCCCCAUUUGCUUCCACUGCCACAGCCACUUGGCCUCAUCUAAAGUGUCCCAUUCUUCUGGAUAUAUAUUCUCAACACCCACCCCAAGUCCAAUUCCAUCUCUGGCUUUCUUACAAUUUUCAAUUACGCAUUUUACGUUGUUUUCCUCAUCUGUAAAGCACAAGGGCAGGAACCAUCAGUUUUAUACACCCCCGGCACUCUCUCAGUGUCUGCCAUCGUUGAUAAGCCAGGAGCUAACGACCUGUCACUGAAGUGAGCAGGCAAAAUCCUGAACCACAGUCUGUGCCAGAACUGCAAAAUUUGCUCCCCCAUCUCCCCGGACUGUUUCAAUUUCCCACAAGGCUGAGUUAUACAGCUGUGACCUCCUGCCUGAUCUCUAUCAGGAACAAGGUAAAGGCCUUAAAGGAAAACGGAACAGGCCUCCAGGGCUGCACUGAGAAAAUUUCAACUUACCAGAGAGGCUGAGAUCCUUCUGCAGGGCCCUCAGGCCCUCUCGAUUCUGAUUCCUUUUAGUGUCCAGGUCCACAAUCUGAAAACCACAGGGACAGGAGGGAACUCAGCUAUCUCUUGCCCCAAGCUGUCACCUCUUGACAGACAAGGGUUGCAGAGGCAAUGCAUUAUUCCUGAUUACAUUCAACGUCCUGCCUAAAAUGGAUUGAUGUGUGAAUGUAUUUCUUCUCUCACUCAGCUUCCUGGUCUUAAAGACAAUGCUUUGUGCAGCUGCCCUCUCCCCAGAAAAGAUGCUGAGAAAACAUGUGCUGACUAAAUGGGAAAUUCUGCAUUAUCCACUCGAACUUUAGGGCAUAUCAGAAUCACCAGGGGAGUGGAAACCCUUCCCCUACACACUGUGAUUAAGCAGGCCUAAUGUUUAUUUUUGGACAAACUUCUCCAGCUGAUUCUGAACUAGUAAUAUGAGAAACCCAACAAUACUAGAUUGGAACAGCAGGAUUGGGGGCACUGAGACAGUGGUAACAACACAAUAGCUACUAAGGAAGUGACGCAGUAGUACAGUAUACUGCACGAGUGCUGGUUCUGGAUUUGGAAUACCCAGGUUCGAAUCCUGCUAUCUGCCUCAAGCUGUGUAAUUUCACCUUCCUAUUUACUCCUCCUCAAAAUGGAGCUACGGACAGUACCUACCUUACAGGUUAUUGAGCCAGCAAUUAAAUGACUUAACACAGUACCUGGCACAUAGUAAGUAGCUGAUAAACUUUAACUGCUCUUAUUCUCAUCCAGCACACCCUGAUCCAGUACUUAAUUUGACAGGAUCUUGCCCAAGUUUUCCCCUUCUCAGUAAAUACCUGACCCUUCUAACUGGAGAUGAGAGGGAGUCACGACUCCCCCGGCUCCACUACCACGGCCUACUGAGUCUGUCUCCAAAAUACAUUUCUGACCCCUUCACUUCUCUCCACCACCACUACCUAGUCCAAAUCCAUCUCUGGUCUGGACCAUACCAAUGGCCCCUCACCCAUCUCCCUGCCUCCGCCCUUGCCCACCUAUAUUCUGUAUUCCACACAGCAGCCAGGGGGGAUCCUUUUAAAACCUAAAUCCAAUUACGUCACCCUCCUUCCCCCAGGAACUCCCCUCAAAAACUUGGCACUUAAAACAAGACACCCCAUAAACAGGGCGCCACCUUCCCCCACGUCCCCACCCCUGCCCGGUCACAAGGCC